AACGAACGCUGGCGGCAUGCCUAACACAUGCAAGUCGAACGGGAUCCUGGCUUCGGCCAGGUGAGAGUGGCGGACGGGUGAGUAACGCGUGGGAACCUGCCCAUUGGUCUGGGAUAACUGCGGGAAACUGCAGCUAAUACCGGAUGUACCCGAGAGGGGAAAGAUUUAUCGCCGAUGGAGGGGCCCGCGUCGGAUUAGGUAGUUGGUGAGGUAACGGCUCACCAAGCCUACGAUCUGUAGCUGGUCUGAGAGGAUGAUCAGCCACACUGGGACUGAGAUACGGCCCAGACUCCUACGGGAGGCAGCAGUGGGGAAUAUUGGACAAUGGGGGGCAACCCUGAUCCAGCAAUGCCGCGUGAGUGAUGAAGGCCUUAGGGUUGUAAAGCUCUUUUACCAGGGACGAUGAUGACGGUACCUGGAGAAUAAGCCCCGGCUAACUUCGUGCCAGCAGCCGCGGUAAU
rnacentral:rRNA from 1 species